rfam:Cajanus cajan CcLG07_298, whole genome shotgun sequence.
UUAUAUAUUAUUAUUAUAGUACAAAUAUGAGAUUGUAUAUGUACUUCACAGUUAAGCGUGCUUGACCUGGAGUAGUACUGGGAUGGGUGACCUUCUGGGAAGUCUCCCAGAAAUUGUACAAG